AUGGGUAUGGUCGCAAGGGAUUCUUCCGUCCUAAUGGGGAAUGGGUCACAUGCUUCUGUUCGUGGCAUUGGCACGGUGGAUCUGAAGUUUACUUCGGGAAAGAUCGUGCAACUAAGGAACGUGCAGCAUGUCCCUACUAUGAACAAGAAUCUAGCUAUGAGUGCGGAGGCUUGUUCCGCUUUUCCCUUUCAGAUUUUUUGCAAUAAGUCAAUAAACCAAAUUUGUGCUAGUGUUAAUGAUGAUGCAAGUAUUUGGCACUCUCGUUUAUGUCAUAUUAAUUUUGGUUUAAUGUCUCGGCUAUCCAGCAUGAGUUUAAUUCCGAACUUCACAGUUGCCAAAGGUUCUAAGUGCCAUAGUUGUGUGCAAUCUAAGCAACCUCGAAAGCCUCAUAAGGCUGCCGAGGAGAGAAACUUGGCACCUCUAGAACUCAUACAUUCUGAUCUUUGUGAGAUGAAUGGUGUGUUGACAAAAGGUGGAAAGAGAUAUUUCAUGACUUUGAUUGAUGAUGCGACUAGAUUUUGCUAUGUUUAUUUGUUGCAAACUAAAGAUGAAGCAUUAGACUACUUUAAAAUCUAUAAAGCUGAAGUUGAAAAUCAACUAGAGAGAAAGAUCAAGCGUCUUAGGUCCGAUCGUGGUGGAGAGUAUUUUCCAAAAGUUUUUGAUGAAUUUUGUGAGGAACAUGGUAUUAUUCAUGAGAGGACGCCUCCCUAUUCACCUCAAUCAAAUGGAGUGGCCGAGAGGAAAAACCGCACAUUGACUGACUUAGUGAAUGCCAUGUUAGACACUGCUAGUUUAUCUAAGGCAUGGUGGGGGGAGGCUCUAUUGACUUCAUGUCAUGUCCUGAAUAGAGUUCCCAACAAUAAUAAAGAGAAAACCCCUUAUGAGGAGUGGGUUGGGAGAAAACCAUCACUUUCUUAUUUGCGCACUUGGGGAUGUUUGGCAAAGGUCAAUAUUCCUAUUCCUAAGAAACGCAAACUUGGACCAAAGACAGUGGAUUGUGUCUUUCUAGGGUAUGCUCAACGGAGCAUUGCUUAUAGGUUUUUAGUGGUAAAAUCUGAAAAGGAUAACAAUGAAGUUCCUAGAAGGAACAAGAGACAAAGGAUUGCAAAAUCCUUUGGUGAUGAUUUCAUUGUAUACCUUGUGGACGACACACCCAAGACGAUUGCAGAAGCAUAUGCAUCUCCGGAUGUAGAUGAUUGGAAAGAAGCUGUUCAUAAUGAGAUGGACUCAAUUCUUUCUAAUGGAACUUGGGAACUAACUGAUAGACCAUAUGGUUGUAAACCUGUGGGCUGUAAGUGGGUGUUCAAAAAGAAGCUGAAGCCUGAUGGUACUAUUGAUAAGUACAAGGCGCGGCUAGUGGCCAAGGGCUACACUCAGAAAGAAGGCGAAGAUUAUUUUGACACCUAUUCACCCGUUGCUAGAAUGACCACCAUUCGAGUGUUACUUUCCUUGGCUGCCUCUUAUGGUCUUAUCAUUCAUCAAAUGGAUGUAAAGACAGCUUUUCUCAAUGGAGAGUUGGAAGAGGAGAUCUAUAUGGAUCAGCCUGACGGGUUUGUGGUAAAGGGUGAAGAGAGAAAGGUGUGCAAGUUGUUAAAAUCUUUGUAUGGUCUGAAACAGGCACCUAAGCAAUGGCAUGAGAAGUUUGGAAGAACUCUGACUUCUGCAGGAUUUGUCAUUAACGAGGCUGAUAGGUGUGUUUACUAUCGCCAUGGUGGGGGCAAUAGUGUCAUAUUAUGUUUGUAUGUGGACGACAUACUGAUCUUUGGUACAAACAUUAAUGCAAUUAAUGAGGUCAAGUCUUUUCUAUCGAAAAGUUUUGACAUGAAAGAUCUGGGAGAAGCCGAUGUAAUUCUAAACAUCAAACUUAUUAAGGAUGAGAGUGGGAUUACAUUAACGCAAUCUCACUAUGUUGAGAAGGUCUUGAACCGAUUCGGUUUUAUGGAUAGCAAGCCUUCUCCAACACCUUAUGAUCCCAGCGUGACACUCAGAAAGAACAAGAAAGAAACAAGAGAUCAAUUAAGAUACUCUCAAAUUGUCGGUUCACUCAUGUACUUAGCUAGCGCUACAAGACCAGAUAUCUCUUUUGCUGUGAGCAAACUGAGUAGGUUCAUGUCCAACCCGGGUGAUGAUCAUUGGCAUGCACUAGAAAGGGUCUUGUGCUAUCUGAGAGGUACUAUAAGUUACGGAAUUACUUAUUCAGGGCAUCCUGCUGUGCUAGAAGGAUAUAGUGAUUCAAAUUGGAUCUCCGAUGUUGAUGUACUUUACGCAACAAGUGGGUAUGUAUUUACUCAUGGUGGUGGCGCAGUGUCAUGGAGGUCUUGCAAGCAAACCAUAUUGACGAGGUCAACUAUGGAAGCAGAAUUAACUGCUUUGGACACAGCUACUGUUGAGGCAGAAUGGCUGCGUGAGCUCUUGAUGGACUUGCCGGUUGUUGAAAAACCUGUACCGGCUAUUCUUAUGAAUUGUGAUAACCAAACACGUGAAAAGACGUUUGAAGUCUGUCAGGAAGUUGAGAAACUCCGGAGUAAUAACUGUUACGUAUAUACAAACAGACGAAAACCUGGCAGAUCCCUUUACAAAGGGACUAUCACGAAAUGUGAUAGAUAUUGCAUCGAGGGAGAUGGGUAUGAGACCCAUAGAUGUUACACCAUAGUAGUAACCCAACCUUUGUGA
rnacentral:rRNA from 1 species